rnacentral:rRNA from 1 species
CCUACGGGUGGCUGCAGUCGAGGAUCUUCGGCAAUGGGCGCAAGCCUGACCGAGCGACGCCGCGUGAAGGAUGAAGGCCUUCGGGUUGUAAACUUCUGUCGAGGGGGAUCGUGAUCCCUGGAGGAAGCACGGGCUAAGUUCGUGCCAGCAGCCGCGGUAAGACGAACCGUGCGAACGUUGUUCGGAAUCACUGGGCAUAAAGGGCGCGUAGGCGGCUUAUCAAGUCAGGGGUGAAAUCCGGCAGCUCAACUGUCGAAGUGCCUUUGAUACUGAUGAGCUCGAGGGAGGUAGGGGUAUGUGGAACUUCCGGUGGAGCGGUGAAAUGCGUUGAUAUCGGAAGGAACGCCGGUGGCGAAAGCGACGUACUGGCCCUUCUGACGCUGAGGCGCGAAAGCUAGGGGAGCAAACGGGAUUAGAUACCCUUGUAGUC